rnacentral:rRNA from 1 species
GAUUGCAGGCUGCAACUCGCCUGCAUGAAGUCGGAAUUGCUAGUAAUCGUGGAUCAGCAUGCCACGGUGAAUACGUUCCCGGGCCUUGUACACACCGCCCGUCACACCAUGGGAGUCGGUAACACCCGAAGCCUGUAGUCUAACCGCAAGGAGGACGCAGUCGAAGGUGGGAUUGAUGACUGGGGUGAAGUCGUAACAAGGUAGC